UCGGGGAACUCGUUGUAUAACUCCACUUCGGUUUCCUACAAAAUAAAAAAGGGCCACAGUUAAGUGCAAAAAUUCUCACAAAUUCAGAGG